CGGCUCCACUUGGGCCGCGGGUCUGGGUGUGGCCCUGGGCGUGUGUGACCAGGUCCUGCCUUCGCCGCUGGGGCUGGUCUCCCGCGCCGGGAAGUGGCGGAUGGGGUGCUUUCCUUAGCCGCUUUACGGGGAAAGGUGGAGGCUAGGAGCGCCUUUCGAAGCACUGCCUGAACCUCCCGGGAGUUAGGAGGCUGCUGGUGGAGGAGGGAACAACCGAAGAAGGCUACGGUGUGAUGCGACCGCCAGGGGUGCGGGGUGUCAGGAAGUCCCUAGCUCCCCCGAACGUGACCUCGCUAACAGGACCUGCCCUCUCCUUGAACUCUGCCUUCUGCUUUUGGUACCUUGGGCAUCUGGAUGCGACCUUCCUCUCGCUGCCCCUGACUCUCAGGCUGCUAAUAUGCACGGCGGACGAGAAGGACCAAAGCUGGUCUCUUACCUAUUUUAUUUAUUUGAGAGAAGGAAAACGCAAAGGGAGACCGAAAGGGAGAAGCAGACUGAUGUGGGACUCGAUCCCAGGACCCUGGUUCAUGACCUGAGCCAAAGGCAGAUGCUUAACGGACUGAGCCAUCCAGGCGCCCCUGGUGUAUGAAUUAUAUCACAGUAAAGCUGUUAUGAGAAAGAAAAAAAAAAUUGACGUCUUGUUCACUGUUAAAUUCCCAGUGGCAAACAUACAACCUGGCACAUAUUAGGUACCCAAUAAAUAUUUGUUGAAUU